rnacentral:ncRNA from 2 species
AUAAAUACAGUGAAUAGGAAGAGUACGGGAUGUUCGUCUUUCAGAGAGAGAAAUCAGCUGCUGUGAGAUUUCUUAAGAAUGUGCACUCGGAAUGUCGCCUAUGAGUAGCUUUUUUGAACAGCUGCAUAGCUCAGUAGAAAAAGCCGGUUAAUCAACCGUUAUGAAAUGAAGUGUAUAGGCUUAUCAAACGGGAUACGUCUAUAAAAAAAGGUGGUACCGCGAAAUCAACUCCUUUCGUCCUUUUA